AUCACUCACCGAGCCCGUGGACAUCCUGUUGUCCCCCUCGCCCACACGCGUCCGCUUUCCUCCCCCCUGGCCAGUCUCGCUGUCUCCGCCUUCCGCUCCCUGGCGGAGGCGGAGGCCAGGGAGCGCUCCGAGGAAGACUAAAAACCCAGGCCAGGAAGCGCAGGGUGCGAAAGCGAGGUGGGCGGUGAGAGCGAGCGCGCCCCUCGGCUGUCCCCCGGGAGCGUGGACCACAAGUUGGCGUCCAAGUCCAGAAAUCCGCGCGCACAGCGGAAAAUAUUUGCCGUGCCUGCAGCGUCCAAGGAUCAGUUGGGGCCAAUGUAAAGCCAGUAUUAUAGGAUACUUCUCAGACUGACAGCCCAAUGUCACUGGAAACCACUGGGCCACAGGAAAGGCAGGAAGAAAUUUUACGACAUGUUUGAAGACUCACCUCUUUAUCUAUGGCAGUCUCAGGCUGAAAUCUGCCAAGUUUAUGUCCAGUGAUGUGAGACACUUCACCUGGCCUACAAUUUUUAAUUAUGAAUUGUACCUCAAUAAUGUUGGGGAAAAACAAGAGAGGAGUGCCAAGAAUGAUGUCUUCAGAGAUAUGACCUGGACCACCAUGUGGGUGUGAUGCUUUGCCUUUUUAAGUGGUGUCAUUUUGAGUUAGGAGUAAGAAUGUGGUAUAAAGGAGUAGCUCAGGCUAAGAAGAAACCCAAAAAGACAUCCAAGAAUCGCUCCAAGUAGCAGCUGAAAUGCUCUAUUUUUCUUUUCUUAUCAUCUUCCUGUUGUUUCCAAGUGCUGUCUUUCUUCUACUUUUUAUACUUGUACCCAGAAUUUCCAGAUUUGUGUCUUUUUUCUUGGGUGAGCUUCCUAGAAUGAGGAUUCUGAUUCAAUUCUAAUCCAAUUCAAUGGAAAUAAAUAGAUCCAAUUCAAUACAUCGAUUUAAAGCAUUAAAAAUCUGCCCUCUUUACAGACCACACUCCCACAAGAUGCUGGCCCACCUGGCCAACAGCAGUAUAAAAGUACAGAGGAUUCACUACAUACCUUCGACUUUGGUACACACUCUCUAAACAAAUACUUUUCUUUCUGCACAGAGGUUAAUCCUCCAUUAUGAUCAACAGAUCAAGUGCUUAUAUUGCCAAAUGCUGCCUCAUUAUAAGGUUUCAUCACUAUUUUACAGUGUUGUUUUCUACUCACAAGGGUGUCUAAUCAUAUGAAAACUUUUAAACAUCAGGAAAGAUCUCUUAGCAAAUGAAAUAAAUAUUUGGGAAAACAGAUAAACUCAGAUGUGUUUGUUCCAGGAAAGCAACUAUGAUAUAAUCUCUAUCUUCAUUUGUUGAUUUUUCUUUCCUUCAGUGGACUUUAGUGCUAUCUUUUGGGAUUCUUUGAUACAUUUUCACAGCCUUAUUUCAUUUUGACUUCACAGAAAUAACUCGGGGAUCUGGUGUGUAAAGAACUAUCAUCAAAAGUGUAUAUGCUUCUUAUUAUUUUUACAUGGUGGUGAUGAACUUACCUUCAUGUAUUAACACUUCUUUUUACAGACUUUUUGUGGUGUUAUUGUAGGACUGAAAGCAUCAGCUCAAACGUUCUCCUCCUCUGCACAUACUCAUUUAGUUAGAGCAAAUUUACAUUCCAAUAAAUGACCUGACUUAUAAGCCUGCCCUUAAAAAAUAUAUAUAUAUUCAAAA